rnacentral:rRNA from 1 species
GUGGGGAAUCUUGCGCAAUGGGCGAAAGCCUGACGCAGCCAUGCCGCGUGAAUGAUGAAGGUCUUAGGAUUGUAAAAUUCUUUCACCGGGGACGAUAAUGACGGUACCCGGAGAAGAAGCUCCGGCUAACUUCGUGCCAGCAGCCGCGGUAAUACGAAGGGGGCUAGCGUUGCUCGGAAUUACUGGGCGUAAAGGGCGCGUAGGCGGACAGCUUAGUCAGAGGUGAAAGCCCAGGGCUCAUCCUUGGAAUUGCCUUUGAUACUGGCUGUCUUGAGUUUGGGAGAGGUGAGUGGAACUCCGAGUGUAGAGGGGAAAUUCGUAGAUAUUCGGAAGAACACCAGUGGCGAAGGCGACUCACUGGCCCAAUACUGACGCUGAGGCGCGAAAGCGUGGGGAGCAAACAGGAUUAGAUACCCGUGUAGUCC